UUCCGUGGCAGACCCCGCGCCGGGGGACUGCUUAGACGCGGCCCCGCUCAUGCUACCGCAGCGGCAGUUCCUACUACUGCUGCCGCUCCUCCCGCUGCUGCAGCUGCUCCUCCUCCUCGGGCGCUGGCUGCGAGCGGACAGGGGGGCAGGGCGGCGGCAGUGCCUCGCAUCCUGCGCCCGGCCCCGCUCACCGCGUACCGCCACCAGCCGCCGCCCGCUUCCGGGUUCGGGGCGGCCCGGCCCAAGCCGUCACCGCGGGGAGACUGAUGCGGCGGGGCCACCGCGGGAAGGCGCCUCGUCCCCGGCCUCCCUAUUGGCGCCCGACGUGCCACCUCCCCCUGCCCCGGGCGGCCGCGGCCCCCUCUCCUCCGCCAGGCUCUAGCCGGCGGAAUUCUUUCAUCUUUGCCUUCUAGGCUUGCCUUGGGAAGAGCGGGUUUACCCUGCACGUCGGGAUCCGGGCCAGGAGAUUGUCGCCGCUUUUGGCCAAGCUCACCUCGUUGUCUCUGGGACCGACCCUCUCGCCCAGCUGCCCACCCGCAGCGGCCACCGGGCAUCACUGCUUGGCCUCGCAGGCACGAGGUGGGGGCAACGUGCCGCAGGAAGAGGUCAUAGCGAAGUGGGCUCUUGCUGUAUGGCGUGAAGCAGAACCCACUUCUGAAUUUGGGAGUAGUGAACGCGCUGGUGUGUGCUUCCUCACAGGGAUGUUAUUAAAGGAUAAUCAAUGGCUCAAAGGAACCACAGGCCAGUCACUCCAUUUCUCAGACACAACAGGGUUUCCCCAAGUUUUGCUCACAUCCUCAGAUGAAAGUGAUACCUCUGCCACCUUAAUACAGAGCAGCACCUGGAGUGGCACCUACAACCUGGGGAUUACACAAGUCCUGAAUCUGUAAAACUAAAACAAAAAAUCUUACUUUCUACAACUUUGUGACAUGUAUCCCUUCAAAACCUGGUUACCACCUCAAUCUUCAUGCCACUCCGUUAUCUUUUUCCAUAAUGUAACUACCAGAUUUGUAAGGGUCAACUGCUGCUUGCCCUUUGCUGUGUGAUAAUGUUUGCUGGUACACAUUUGCUUAUGAUUAAACUCAGCAUUCGACAG